AAAAGAAUUAAAGUAUUUUCUCAAAAGGGGUUGCCAAGGCAUUGGGUGCUUGCUAUAGUUCGGCUCCCGUCGCAGAACAAGCAGCGAAACGCAGAGUGUAGCGAGCUGAAUUGGGUGUGAUGGGGGUGAAGAAGUUGUUGUAGAAGUUGAAGUUUUUGUUAGUCGUUUUGAAGAAAUUUAAAACGAAUCUUUUUAAAAAGUUUCUUAAAAAGAUGUUGACGAAAACGAAGACAUGCCACAUAAUCUCAUCUCUCUGCUGCUGACGAACAAAACGAUUCGCAGCGACGCUGAAACAGCGAAGCAGACAAGAAGUUCUUUAAAAAUUAACAGUCGAUAAGUGUGGGCGUUUAAUGGAAGCGCGGCAGUGAAUUUAUUUGCUGCUAUAACUUUAAAUAUUAAAUGCUCACAAAGAAAUAUAGAUACUUUCAGUUAAAUGAAAGUACCUGUCAGUAUUUUGAGUGAGCGACCGGUUCGAAAGAACCAUGUCAGCAAUGACAUAAAACAGAGAUUGAACUGAAGAGUUUGAUCCUGGCUCAGAUUGAACGCUGGCGGCAUGCCUUACACAUGCAAGUCGAACGGCAGCACGGGAGCUUGCUCCUGGUGGCGAGUGGCGAACGGGUGAGUAAUAUAUCGGAACGUACCCUAGAGUGGGGGAUAACGCAGCGAAAGUUGCGCUAAUACCGCAUACGAUCUACGGAUGAAAGUGGGGGAUCGCAAGACCUCAUGCUCAUGGAGCGGCCGAUAUCUGAUUAGCUAGUUGGUAGGGUAAAAGCCUACCAAGGCUUCGAUCAGUAGCUGGUCUGAGAGGACGACCAGCCACACUGGAACUGAGACACGGUCCAGACUCCUACGGGAGGCAGCAGUGGGGAAUUUUGGACAAUGGGCGCAAGCCUGAUCCAGCAAUGCCGCGUGAGUGAAGAAGGCCUUCGGGUUGUAAAGCUCUUUUGUCAGGGAAGAAACGGUGGACUCUAAUACAGAUCACUAAUGACGGUACCUGAAGAAUAAGCACCGGCUAACUACGUGCCAGCAGCCGCGGUAAUACGUAGGGUGCAAGCGUUAAUCGGAAUUACUGGGCGUAAAGCGUGCGCAGGCGGUUGUGCAAGACAGAUGUGAAAUCCCCGGGCUCAACCUGGGAAUUGCAUUUGUGACUGCACGGCUAGAGUGUGUCAGAGGGGGGUAGAAUUCCACGUGUAGCAGUGAAAUGCGUAGAGAUGUGGAGGAAUACCGAUGGCGAAGGCAGCCCCCUGGGAUAACACUGACGCUCAUGCACGAAAGCGUGGGGAGCAAACAGGAUUAGAUACCCUGGUAGUCCACGCCCUAAACGAUGUCUACUAGUUGUUGGGUCUUAAUUGACUUAGUAACGCAGCUAACGCGUGAAGUAGACCGCCUGGGGAGUACGGUCGCAAGAUUAAAACUCAAAGGAAUUGACGGGGACCCGCACAAGCGGUGGAUGAUGUGGAUUAAUUCGAUGCAACGCGAAAAACCUUACCUACCCUUGACAUGUACGGAAUCCCUGAGAGAUUAGGGAGUGCUCGAAAGAGAACCGUAACACAGGUGCUGCAUGGCUGUCGUCAGCUCGUGUCGUGAGAUGUUGGGUUAAGUCCCGCAACGAGCGCAACCCUUGUCAUUAGUUGCUACGAAAGGGCACUCUAAUGAGACUGCCGGUGACAAACCGGAGGAAGGUGGGGAUGACGUCAAGUCCUCAUGGCCCUUAUGGGUAGGGCUUCACACGUCAUACAAUGGUACAUACAGAGGGCCGCCAACCCGCGAGGGGGAGCUAAUCCCAGAAAGUGUAUCGUAGUCCGGAUUGUAGUCUGCAACUCGACUACAUGAAGUUGGAAUCGCUAGUAAUCGCGGAUCAGCAUGUCGCGGUGAAUACGUUCCCGGGUCUUGUACACACCGCCCGUCACACCAUGGGAGCGGGUUUCACCAGAAGUAGGUAGCCUAACCGUAAGGAGGGCGCUUACCACGGUGGGAUUCGUGACUGGGGUGAAGUCGUAACAAGGUAGCCGUAUCGGAAGGUGCGGCUGGAUCACCUCCUUUCU
rnacentral:rRNA from 1 species